rnacentral:rRNA from 1 species
CGUCUAUAUACGUAUAGCAUAUCAAUAAGCGGAGGAAAAGAAACUAACUAGGAUUCCCUCAGUAACGGCGAGUGAAGCGGGAAGAGCUCAAAUUUGAAAUCUUCAAGGUUCUACCUUGACGAAUUGUAGUUUAAAGAAGUGUUUUCUGUUGGAGUUUUGGUAAAAGUUCUUUGGAAUAGGACAUCAUAGAGGGUGAGAAUCCCGUAUUUGACCAUUAUUUCCAACUUUGUGAUACACUUUCAAAGAGUCGGAUUGUUUGGGAAUGCAGUCCAAAAUGGGUGGUAAAUUUCAUCUAAAGCUAAAUACUGGCGAGAGACCGAUAGCGAACAAGUACCGUGAGGGAAAGAUGAAAAGAACUUUGAAAAGAGAGUUAAACAGUACGUGAAAUUGUCAAAAGGGAAGCGUUUGACACCAGUGUUGUUUUCUCGAAAAUCAAUUAAAAAUGGCUGGGAUUUUGUGUUGUAUUGACUUUAUCAGCUUUCUGCACUUUUUUCCUAUCUUUUUUAAUGCACUUUUCGUUUAACAAGUCAACAUCAAUUUCUUUUGUUGUAAAAGAGGUCAUUGGAAGGUGGCUUUCUUUUCGGAUGAAAGUGUUUAUAGCCUUUGGCCUCUGCAAUCGGAGAGAUUGAGGUCUGCAGCGUAGAUCCUUCGGGGUUAGAUAGCAUUUGUGCUAAGCUAUAGCCUUUCAUAGACAACUUGUUGACUAUGAUCAGUCAUGUAGCUUACUCGCUUAUGUUAUUUUACCUACGCUUAGGAUGUUGACGAUCAGCUGAGCGCG